CUGCACAUUUUAGCCCCUGAUUACUGAAUUUAUUUGAAUGGCACAGUUCUUUUCUCAGUAUAAUUGCCCUCACCCGCAAAUAAAUUGAUAAACAUUUUUUCGAUUUUGCAAUCGGUGGUUCCCACUGCCGGACUGGUGGGGUGUUUUAAGCGCAGUAUAUAAACGCUAAAUAAAUCCUCUUUUAAAAUCAUUACUACCUUAAAUUGCCUAACUUACGAGUAAUUCAAUACAAAUAAAAUGAAACUGCAAGUUGUAGUUUUUCUCGUCGUCGUUUUGGUGUCACUGUGUGCGUGUUUGCCCUUUGACGACUCUGAUCCCACAGUGAAUCAUGGAUAUGGAGACGAAGAGUUCCACCCGGCACAAGACCAGCAGUUAUUCCUCUUCAAAAAGUUUAAAUUGUUCAAAUUGGGGAAGAAAUUCCUGGGGUGAAGCAGUCAAAUGUUCUUUUGUGGUUUUGUAUAGUCAUUAGGUUAAGAUUUACAAUAAAUUUUUUAUUCAUAA